rnacentral:tRNA from 1 species
AAGGCCGUGCAGAGAUGUCCAAGAUGCCGCCCUCUCACGGCGGGAACAGGGGUUCGAUUCCCCUUGGGCGUACCA